ACAUGGAGAACCUGGCUUCACUUCUGUUCUUCUCAGCUCUUGUAGGUCACAGCUUGGAAGAUGAUGUCACCGCCAGCAGUGCUGAGGUGUUUUCAGCAUCGGGCCGAACUGUUACUCUGUCCUGUCAAUAUUCUGUUAAAGCAAAUAAUCUCCAGUGGUAUCGACAGGAUCCUGGAUCCGCUCCUCACUAUCUUCUCCUGAUCACUGAUACACAAGAGCCUCAAGUGGUGAGAGCGACUCCUCCAAACCCUCGACUGACAGCUGGACUGAACCAGGAGAGAAAUGGAGUCACACUGCAGAUCUCCUCUGCUGCAGUGACAGACUCUGCUGUGUACUACUGUGCUGUGGAGCAGAACCAAAUCCACAUGAUCAUCUCCUCUGCUGCAGUGACAGACUCUGCUGUGUACUACUGUGCUCUGAGUUACUUUUCUCCUUCAGCAAUCAGAGGUGAAGAACUCACACCGGUCCACAAUGAAGAGUUCAGUGCAGAAGGCAGCUCUGUGACUCUGUCCUAUAACUCCUCCAAAGUGAACCCAGGGGAUUAUUUCUUCUGGUGUCAGCUGUGA